rnacentral:rRNA from 1 species
CCUGGCGGCCUUAGCGCGGUGGUACCACCUGACCCCAUGCCGAACUCAGAAGUGAAACGCCGUAGCGCCGAUGGUAGUGUGGGGUCUCCCAUGCGAGAGUAGGGAACUGCCAGGC